rnacentral:rRNA from 1 species
AUCGAACGCUGGCGGCAGGCUUAACACAUGCAAGUCGAGCGAGCGGCGGACGGGUGAGUAAUGUCUGGGAAACUGCCUGAUGGAGGGGGAUAACCACUGGAAACGGUAGCUAAUACCGAAUAUCAUCAGAUGUGCCCAGAUGGGAUUAGCUAGUAGGUGGGGUAAUGGCUUACCUAGGAGACGAUCCCUGGCUGGUCUGAGAGGAUGACCAGCCGCACUGGAACUGUGAGACGGUCCAGACUCCUAGGGGAGUCAGCGGGGUGGAAUGUUGCGCAAUGGGCUCAUGCCUGAUACAGCGAUGCCGCGUGUAUGAAUAGGGCCUUCGGGUUGUAAAGCACUUUCAGCGAGGAGGCGUUACUCGCAGAAGAAGCACCGGCUAACUCCGUGCCAGCAGCCGCGGUAAUUC